rnacentral:rRNA from 1 species
GACGAACGCUGGCGGCGUGCUUAACACAUGCAAGUCGAACGGUGAAGGGGUCUGCUUUUGUGGGCCCUGGAUGAGUGGCGAACGGGUGAGUAACACGUGAGUAACCUGCCCCCUUCUUCUGGAUAACCGCAUGAAAGUGUGGCUAAUACGGGAUAUUCUGGGUCUGUCGCAUGAUGGGUCUGGGAAAGAUUGCGCCUUUGGGUGUUUUUGGUGGGGGAUGGGCUCGCGGCCUAUCAGCUUGUUGGUGGGGUGAUGGCCUACCAAGGCGGUGACGGGUAGCCGGCCUGAGAAGGUGGACGGUCACACUGGGACUGAGACACGGCCCAGACUCCUACGGGAGGCAGCAGUGGGGAAUAUUGCACAAUGGGCGCAAGCCUGAUGCAGCGACGCCGCGUGAGGGAGGGAGGCCUUCGGGUUGUAAACCUCUUUCGCCAGUGAAGCAGGCCUGCUCCUUGUGGGUGGGUUGACGGUAGCUGGAGAAGAAGCGCCGGCUAACUACGUG